rnacentral:rRNA from 1 species
GACGAACGCUGGCGGCGUGCCUAAUACAUGCAAGUAGGACGCAGUUGCGAACGGGUGAGUAACGCGUAGGUAACUACCUAUUAGAGGGGGAUAACUAUUGGAAACGAUAGCUAAUACCGCAUACUAGUAGAUGGACCUGCGUUGUAUUAGCUAGUAGGUGGGGUAAUGGGCUACCUAGGCAACGAUACAUAGCCGAGCUUGGAGGGUGAACGGCCAAACUGGAACGGGGACAAGGGCCAGGCUCCUUAGGGAGGCAGCAGUAGGGAAUCUUCGGCAAUGGGGGGAAACCUGACCGAGCAACGCCGCGUGAGUGAAGAAGGUUUUCGGAUCGGAAAGCUCUGUUAGUAAGGAAGCGGUACUUAACCAGAAAGGGACGGCUAACUACGUGCCAGCCGCCGCGGUAAUUC